rnacentral:tRNA from 1 species
CAAAACGUAGCUUAACCAAAGC